AGGAUGAACGCUGGCGGUGUGCCUAAUACAUGCAAGUCGAACGAGAUCUUCGGAUCUAGUGGCGGACGGGUGAGUAACACGUUGGUACCUACCCCUAAGUGGGGAAUAACUGCCCGAAAGGGUGGCUAAUACCGCAUAAUCCCGCAAGGGUAAAGCAGUAAUGCGCUUAGGGAGGGGCCUGCGUCUGAUUAGCUAGUUGGUAGGGUAAUGGCCUACCAAGGCGACGAUCAGUAGCUGGAUCGAGAGGUUGACCAGCCACACUGGGACUGAGAUACGGCCCCAGACUCCUACGGGAGGCAGCAGUAAGGAAUCUUCCACAAUGGACGAAAGUCUGAUGGAGCAACACCGCGUGCAGGAUGACGGUCUUCGGAUUGUAAACUGCUUUUAUAUGGGAAGAUUAUGACGGUACCAUAUGAAUAAGGACCGGCUAACUACGUGCCAGUAGCCGC
rnacentral:rRNA from 1 species